rnacentral:rRNA from 1 species
UACGGAGGGUGCAAACGUUGCUCGGAAUCAUUGGGCGUAAAGCGCACGUAGGCGGUUCGUUAAGUCGGAUGUGAAAGCCCUGGGCUCAACCCUUGAAAGCCGGCCGAUACUGUCGGACUAGAGUCCGGAAGAGGCAAGUGGAAUUCCCGGUGUAGCGGUGAAAUGCGCAGAUAUCGGGAGGAACACCAAUGGCGAAGGCAGCUUGCUGGGACGGUACUGACGCUGAGGCGCGAAAGCGUGGGGAGCAAACAGG